CAUUUAACUGCAUCUCCUACUGAGCUGGAAGCUCUGGUGGAUAGGGGCAGGUCUGCUCAUUCACUGCUGCCUUCCCUGCACCUGGUACCAUGCACACAGAAUAAGCCUAGCAGAAUGCCUGUGGAUGGACUGACCAAUGAAAGUAAUGAGGUGCUGGGACCCGAAGGCUGAGUGGCAUGAGUCAUGAGGAGGCAUAGGUGGAGUUGGAGGUGGGAGGAGGAUGAUGUAGCAAAGGAUCCCAUCCAGGAUACCACAUGACAUUUCAUCAUCAUUAUCAUGUCUCUUUAGCCUCGUCUUGGCUGUGGUGGUUUCUUAGGCUUUCCUUGUGUUUGAUGACCCAGAGGUUUUGCAGAAAGUCCCUCUGUUGGGAUUAAUCUGAUGUUUUUCUCAUGAUGAGACUGGGGUUAUGGGUUUUGGGGGAGGAAGACCCUGGAGGUUAAGUGCCCUUCUCAUCAUAUCAUGUCAAGGGUACUUGCUGUCAAUGUGACUUUUUGGUGUUGAUAUUGAGCUUGAUGACCUGGCUGAGGUGGUAUUUGUCAGGGUCCUCCACUGUAAAGUUCCUCCUCUUUUGGCAUGCCCUUUUGACCAAAAAUCAAAAGUCAUGUUCUCCAGUGGUCUUUCUUAGCAAUAAAGCUGACAUUUUGG
rnacentral:lncRNA from 1 species